AACGAACGCUGGCGGCAGGCUUAACACAUGCAAGUCGAACGCCCCGCAAGGGGAGUGGCAGACGGGUGAGUAACACGUGGGAACAUGCCCGAAGGUACGGAAUAUUCUCGGGAAACUGGGAGCAAUACCGUAUGUGCCCGAAAGGGGAAAGAUUUAUCGCCUUUGGAUUGGCCCGCGUUGGAUUAGCUAGUUGGUGGGGUAAAAGCCUACCAAGGCGACGAUCCAUAGCUGGUCUGAGAGGACGACCAGCCACACUGGGACUGAGACACGGCCCAGACUCCUACGGGAGGCAGCAGUGGGGAAUCUUGGACAAUGGGCGCAAGCCUGAUCCAGCCAUGCCGCGUGAGUGAUGAAGGCCCUAGGGUUGUAAAACUCUUUCGUGGGGGACGAUAAUGACGGUACCCCAAGAAGAAGCUCCGGCUAACUUCGUGCCAGCAGCCGCCGUAAUAC
rnacentral:rRNA from 1 species